CUCUGAUGGUGUAGUUGGCUAUCACACCCGGCUGUAACUGUAUUCUAUGCUACCGGUUGUCGCUAGUUCGAUUCUGGCUCAGGAGA
rnacentral:tRNA from 1 species